rnacentral:ncRNA from 1 species
AAAGACUUAGUCCUAACCUUACCGUUAAUUUUUGCUAAAUAUAUACAUGCAAGUAUCCGCACUCCAGUGUAAAUGCCCAUCAACCUCUUAUAAAGAAAAAAGGAGCGGGUAUCAGGCACACCCAAGUUGUAGCCCAAGACACCUUGCUUAGCCACACCUCCACAGGUAUUCAGCAGUAAUCAAUAUUAAGCAAUGAGUGCAAACUUGACUUAGUUAUAGCAACCUUAGGGUUGGUAAAUCUUGUGCCAGCCACCGCGGUCAUACAAGAAACCCAAAUUAACCGUAUACGGCGUAAAGAGUGGAACUAUGCUAUCAUAAUAACUAAGACCAAAGUACAACUAAGCUGUCAUAAGCUCAAGGUGUAUAUAAGCCCUUCUACUUAAAAUGAUCUUAGUACCUAAGAUAAAUUUAAUCCCACGAAAGCUAAGACACAAACUGGGAUUAGAUACCCCACUAUGCUUAGCCAUAAAUCUUGAUAUUUUCUCAUACUAAAAUAUCCGCCUGAGAACUACGAGCACAAACGCUUAAAACUCUAAGGACUUGGCGGUGCCCCAAACCCACCUAGAGGAGCCUGUUCUGUAAUCGAUAACCCACGUUACACCCGACCGCCCCUUGCCAGAGCCAGCCUAUAUACCGCCGUCGCCAGCUCACCUUUCCUGAGAGGCCUAAAGUGAGCACAAUAGUUUACAGUCCACUAAUAAGACAGGUCGAGGUAUAGCUAACGGGGCGGAAGAAAUGGGCUACAUUUUCUAACAAUAGACCAAGCUACGGAGGGGGACAUGAAACCGUCCCCCGAAGGUGGAUUUAGCAGUAAAGUGAGAUAAUGCAAGCUCACUUUAAACCGGCCCUGGGGCACGUACAUACCGCCCGUCACCCUCCUCACAGGCCAUAAUCCUACUAUAUCUAAUACAAGCCAAAAGCCAAAGAUGAGGUAAGUCGUAACAAGGUAAGUGUACCGGAAGGUGCACUUAGCAUAC